rnacentral:pre_miRNA from 1 species
GCUAAGAGAGCUCUGUUCGGCCAGAGCUCAUGAGGCCACCAGCUCUCUCUUGGCAC